rnacentral:rRNA from 1 species
UACAGAGGUCUCAAGCGUUGUUCGGAUUCAUUGGGCGUAAAGGGUGCGUAGGCGGCGCGGUAAGUCGGGUGUGAAAUUUCGAGGCUUAACUUCGAAACUGCAUUCGAUACUGCCGUGCUAGAGGACUGGAGAGGAGACUGGAAUUUACGGUGUAGCGGUGAAAUGCGUAGAUAUCGAGAGGAACACCUGCGGCGAAGGCGGGUUGCUGGGCUGACACUGACGCUGAUGCGCGAAAGCUAGGGGAGCGAACGGG